ACACGUAGUUAAUCUGCCCUCGGGACGGAAAUAACUCUGGGAAACUGGAGCUAAUGCCCGAUAGGUGGAAACGCCUGGAAUGGUCUUCCACCCAAAAGUUACUAGGAACAUGCUUCUAGCAACGCCCAAGGAUGAGACUGCGUCUGAUCAGGCAGUUGGUGAGGUAAUGGCUCACCAAACCUAUAACCAGUACGGGCCCUGAGAGGGGAAGCCCGGAGAUGGGAACUGAGAUAAGGUCCCAGGUCCUACGGGGCGCAGCAGGCGCGAAAACUCCACAAUGCGCGAAAGCGUGAUGGGGUUACCCCGAGUGCCGUCCGUAAGGAUGGCUUUUCCUCAAUGUAAGGAGUUGGGGGAAUAAAGGGGGGGAAAGACUGGUGUCAGCCGCCGCGGUAAUACCAGCCCCCUGAGUGAUAGGGACGAUUAUUUAGCCUAAAGCGUUCGUAGCCGGUCAAGUAAGUCUUUCGUUAAAUCUGACGGCUUAAUCGUCAGACCGCGGAAGAUACUGUUAGACUUGAGGGCGGGAGAGGUUGACGGUAUUCCUGGGGUAGGGGUGAAAUCCUAUAAUCCUAGGAGGACCACCAGUGGCGAAGGCGGUCAACCAGAACGCGCCUGACGGUGAUGGACGAAAGCUGGGGGAGCGAACCGGAUUAGACA
rnacentral:rRNA from 1 species